GGGGACUUAGCUCAGUGAUAGAGCGCUUGCCUUGCAAGCACAAGGCCCUGGGUUCGGUCCCCAGCUCCG
rnacentral:tRNA from 1 species